UACGACUACAUAUCAGGCAUAUCAAUAAGCGGAGGAAAAGAAACUAACAAGGAUUCCCUUAGUAACGGCGAGUGAAGCGGGAAGAGCUCAAAUUUGAAAUCUUCAAGGUUUUACCUUGACGAAUUGUAGUUUAAAGAAGUGUUUUCUGUUGAAGUUUUGGUAAAAGUUCUUUGGAAUAGGACAUCAUAGAGGGUGAGAAUCCCGUAUUUGACCAUUAUUUUCAGCUGUGUGGUACACUUUCAAAGAGUCGGAUUGUUUGGGAAUGCAGUCCAAAAUGGGUGGUAAAUUUCAUCUAAAGCUAAAUAUUGGCGAGAGACCGAUAGCGAACAAGUACCGUGAGGGAAAGAUGAAAAGAACUUUGAAAAGAGAGUUAAACAGUACGUGAAAUUGUCAAAAGGGAAGCGUUUGACACCAGUGUUGUUUCUACGAAAAUCAAUUUAUGAUGGCUUGAUGCUAAGCUUUAAGACUUUAUCCGCUUGUUGUUUAGUUUUCCUGUCUUUGUGAAUGCACUUUUCGUGGAACAAGUCAACAUCAAUUUCUUUUGCUGUAAAAGGGUAAGAGGAAGGUGGCUUCGGCUUCGGUUCGAAGUGUUUAUAGCCUUUUAUCUCUGCAGUCGGAGAGAUUGAGGUCUGCAGCGUAGACUCUUCGGGGUUAGAUACGUCGGUGCUAAGCUACUAGCUUUUCAUAGACAACUUGUUGACUAUGUUUAGUCAUUGUGACUUACCCGCUUAGGCUAUUUUACCUACGCUUAGGAUGUUGAGCGCAUGUCUCUCUCU
rnacentral:rRNA from 1 species